rnacentral:rRNA from 1 species
AACGAAGGUACCGAGCGUUAUCCGGAUUUACUGGGCGUAAAGCGCGUUCAGGCGGUUUGGCAAGUCGGGCAUGAAAUCUCUCGGCUCAACCGGGAGAGGUUGUCCGAUACUUCCAGACUUGAGGGCAGUAGAGGGUGGUGGAAUUCCGGGUGUAGUGGUGAAAUGCGUAGAUAUCCGGAGGAACACCAGUGGCGAAAGCGGCCACCUGGACUGCACCUGACGCUGACACGCGAAAGCUAGGGGAGCGAACGGG